rnacentral:tRNA from 1 species
ACCCAAAUAGCUCAGUUGGGAGGGCGUUACACUAUAGAUCGAUGGGUGCCUGGUUCGAUCUUGGGAUUUGGCA